GCUGACGGAGCAGGGCUGUGUGUUCCAGGAGAGACAUGGCUGGGAGAGACCUGGCUGGUUCAACAAAGACGGGCCCGCCCCUGUUAAAGACUACGAUUACUAUGGAGCGUAUGACAUUAAGAAGAAUAUGAACUACAAAUACAACGAAUUGCUGGGAAAAGAGUACACCUUUGACUUCCCUCCACAUCAUGACG